AAAGGAUCAUGAAUAAUCAAAUCAAAAGGACAAAAUAUAAAGACACCGUCUCGGUUGAAGGACAAAAAUUACACAUUAAACCCAACACUUUCAGGAACCUCUUCAAAGAGACAAUAGAUGAGUUAAUAUAUCAUCUCACCGAACUCUUUGCCGAUCCGCUCUUAUCAAAUCUUAAAAAUGUUAUCAAAGUCGGUGGUUUUGCAGAAUGCG
rnacentral:lncRNA from 1 species